GACGAACGCUGGCGGCGUGCUUAACACAUGCAAGUCGAACGGAAAGGCCCUUCGGGGUACUCGAGUGGCGAACGGGUGAGUAACACGUGGGUGAUCUGCCCUGCACUUUGGGAUAAGCCUGGGAAACUGGGUCUAAUACCGAAUAUGAUCAUGCUCUUCAUGGGGUGUGGUGGAAAGCUUUUGCGGUGUGGGAUGGGCCCGCGGCCUAUCAGCUUGUUGGUGGGGUAAUGGCCUACCAAGGCGACGACGGGUAGCCGGCCUGAGAGGGUGACCGUGCACACUGGGACUGAGAUACGGCCCAGACUCCUACGGGAGGCAGCAGUGGGGAAUAUUGCACAAUGGGCGCAAGCCUGAUGCAGCGACGCCGCGUGAGGGAUGACGGCCUUCGGGUUGUAAACCUCUUUCAGCACAGACGAAGCGCGAGUGACGGUAUGUGCAGAAGAAGGACCGGCCAACUACGUGCCAGCCGCCGCCGUAA
rnacentral:rRNA from 1 species